GGGGGUGUAGCUUAGUCUGGUUUAAAGCAGUCGCCUGUCGAGCGAAAGAUCGUGAGUUCAAAUCUCAUCAUCCCCG
rnacentral:tRNA from 2 species